GUCUUAGUACGGCGAGUGAAGCGGCAAAAGCUCAAAUUUGAAAUCUGGUACCUUCGGUGCCCGAGUUGUAAUUUGGAGAGGGCAACUUUGGGGCCGUUCCUUGUCUAUGUUCCUUGGAACAGGACGUCAUAGAGGGUGAGAAUCCCGUGUGGCGAGGAGUGCGGUUCUUUGUAAAGUGCCUUCGAAGAGUCGAGUUGUUUGGGAAUGCAGCUCUAAGUGGGUGGUAAAUUCCAUCUAAAGCUAAAUAUUGGCGAGAGACCGAUAGCGAACAAGUACAGUGAUGGAAAGAUGAAAAGAACUUUGAAAAGAGAGUGAAAAAGUACGUGAAAUUGUUGAAAGGGAAGGGCAUUUGAUCAGACAUGGUGUUUUGUGCCCUCUGCUCCUUGUGGGUAGGGGAAUCUCGCAUUUCACUGGGCCAGCAUCAGUUUUGGUGGCAGGAUAAAUCCAUAGGAAUGUAGCUUGCCUCGGUAAGUAUUAUAGCCUGUGGGAAUACUGCCAGCUGGGACUGAGGACUGCGACGUAAGUCAAGGAUGCUGGCAUAAUGGUUAUAUGCCGCCCGUCUUAAAACCCGGGCACACA
rnacentral:rRNA from 1 species